AAAGCGUGGUGACCACACGAGAAGACUGUUAACCAGAAUUAGUGGUUCUUUGGUUAGAGUUAAGCCAUGUUUGCCCGUAAAAGAGCCUCUAAAGUGAAAAGAAAGUAAGUUACCAGCCGAAAAAGGACAGAAUGCGUCCCGUCUCCGAAACCGACCCUGGGAAUCCAGGAAAUGCCCCGGGGUAAAGGUGUUCGGAGUCUCCCACUCGCUCUUAUCAUUCAGUACAGAGGAUAUCAGCCAUCAACAGGAAGAUAAAGACGAAGAGCAGAAUGCUCCAGAAAUCCAGACAGUCCAAGACUGCUUGAAGAAUCAUGGUUGGAAGGGUGUGGAGGGAGAGUCUGGAGCUGCAGGGCCCUCGAAAGCACCGUAUGGAGUAAAAACGUCCUUGUUAAUGAUCAAAUUUCUCUUACGCAAGAGUCACAUGGACAUAUCAAUCACCACUGGUUCUUUCUACCUAAUAGUAACUAUUUAACCUACUGCGUUUUGUAAGACCUGCGCUGUUAGCUCACCAACCACCGGCUGCUAGGCGACCCUUAGCUCUGCCCUCAUUUAUUCCCUAUCAAAACAGCUAGUUCCUUGGAGACUUGUGUUUUUUUCCAGCAUUGUGGUUUAAUUGGUGCACUCUAUUUCUGCACCCCCUCACCUGCCUCUGUUUUAUACUUGAAACCACUACAGGGUCACAGUAAGCUUGGAGCCUCUCCCACAAGCCAGACACGUAGGAUGGGAUGCAGGUCCAUCACAGGGCACAUAAACACUAUGGCCAGUUUAGAGAUGCCAUUUCAUCUAACUGAACUGAAGCCCCCAGCCCUGAAGGCGUGAAACGUCAGUGUUGCCAAACCUCUGCGUAUCAGACCCCAAUUCCACUAGCUUUGCGCUCUGCUGAGUCAGUUGACUCCUUUAAAAUACAUCUUAAGACUUUCUUCUUUAAGAAGGUCUUUGAAUAGAGCUGAGUUAACGCUAUUUGGGCUUUAUUCUCUAAUAUAUUUUUCAAGUGUUUCUAUUAUCUCAUGUUUUUUCAUACUGUGUUUGGUAUGCUUAUCUUUAUUGUUACAUUUCUUGUACAGCACUUUGUGACUUGUGUCUGUGAAAAGUGCUUUAUAAAUAUAUUUUACUUACUUACUUACCUUUGAUGUUGUAUAUAUCUCUGCACUUUUUACCAAUGAAAUAAUGUCCGUGUCUUUCA